GCGAGCUCGGUGGCAGGAGUGGCGGGAUUACGGGGGGUGCGAGCGUUGUCCGGAAGUAGUGGGCGUAAAGGGCUUGUGGGCGGUUUGUAGCGUCUGCUGUGAAAAUCCGGGGCUCAACCCCGGACUGGCAGUGGGUACGGGCAGACUAGAGUAUGGUAGGGGAGACUGGAAUUCCUGGUGUAGCGGUGAAAUGCGCAGAUAUCAGGAGGAACACCGAUGGCGAAGGCAGGUCUCUGGGCCACUACUGACGCUGAGAAGCGAAAGCAUGGGGAGCGAACAGGAUUAGAUACCCCAGUAGUC
rnacentral:rRNA from 1 species